AGUUUGAAAGUUUUGUUUUUGUAUCAACAGGCAGAGAGUGUAGAUGAAACCAUAAAACAGGAGGAGAAGGUAUCGGAGGAGAAACCAUCUGGAAAAUUAUCGACUGAAACACAGUUACAAGAGGAAGCAGAAGAAGGAAGUGAACACUCGUCAUUUAGUGAACAUUACAAGAAGUCAAUUCGUCUCACCAAUGAACAAUUAGCUUGUUUAAACCUUAAACCUGGACCAAAUGAAAUUACAUACUCAGUGACGACCAGGUACCAAGGAACUUGUCUAUGUAAGAGCACAAUCUACCUGUGGCAGCAUGAUAGUAGGAUUGUUAUAUCUGAUAUAGAUGGCACAAUAACUAAGUAAGUAUUUGUGAUAGCUGUAUACUUACAAAUACA